AGACACCAAGUGCUGAGGUCCUGUCUCAGCCUCAUACAGACCAAUUGGUUCAAGGACCAAAAAUUUUGGGGUCCCAAGCCACACGCUUUACUCAGCUGCCCUGAACAACAUGGAGGCCACUUCUGCAUCAACCACCCUGGACAACAAAAACAUUAGCAACACUUCACCAAGAAAGGCUGGGAAGGUGAGAAGCAAGUGGACAAGUGAUGAAGUGAAGGUUGUUGAGCGGCACGUUUCAUUUCCUAACAAGCUGCAAAGUACCAGGUAAAAAGGAAUGUGACUGCUGCUUCCAAGCAGAGCUGGCAGCUCGGAAAUGCAGAGACUGGGUUGCCAUAAAGUACUACAGCCACAACAGGAUCAUAGCAUUAAAAGAAAGAUGCAAGAAAGAAAGAAACAAGCAAGACAGAUACUUUGUUACUUCCACAGUUAUGUCAGUAUUGCAGCUUUCUGCAUUGCAUUGUUGUUACUCAUAAAUUUGUGGUUUAUGCUGGAUGCUUUUUGCAAUAAAU